CCUACGGGGGGCAGCAGUGAGGAAUAUUGGUCAAUGGGAGAGAUCCUGAACCAGCCAAGCCGCGUGAGGGAAGACGGCCCUAUGGGUUGUAAACCUCUUUUGUCGGAGAACAAAACCCGGGACGUGUCCCGGACUGCGUGUAUCCGAAGAAAAAGCAUCGGCUAACUCCGUGCCAGCAGCCGCGGUAAUACGGAGGAUGCGAGCGUUAUCCGGAUUUAUUGGGUUUAAAGGGUGCGUAGGCGGUCCGUUAAGUCAGCGGUAAAAUUGCGGGGCUCAACCCCGUCGAGCCGUUGAAACUGGCAGACUUGAGUUGGCGAGAAGUACGCGGAAUGCGCGGUGUAGCGGUGAAAUGCAUAGAUAUCAUGAAGAACUCCGAUCGCGAAGGCAAGUGUCCGGGGUGCAACUGACGCUGAGGCUCGAAAGUGCGGGUAUCGAACAGGAUUAGAUACCCCUGUAGUC
rnacentral:rRNA from 1 species